GGUUAAGUUAGAAAGGGCGCACGGUGGAUGCCUUGACACUAGGAGUCGAUGAAGGACGGGACUAACGCCGAUAUGCUUCGGGGAGCUGUAAGUAAGCUUUGAUCCGAAGAUUUCCGAAUGGGGAAACCCACCAUACGUAAUGGUAUGGUAUCCUUAUCUGAAUACAUAGGGUAAGGAAGACAGACCCAGGGAACUGAAACAUCUAAGUACCUGGAGGAAGAGAAAGCAAAUGCGAUUUCCUGAGUAGCGGCGAGCGAAACGGAACAUAGCCCAAACCAAGAGGCUUGCCUCUUGGGGUUGUAGGACAUUCUAUACGGAGUUACAAAGGAACGAGGUAGACGAAGCGACCUGGAAAGGUCCGUCGUAGAGGGUAACAACCCCGUAGUCGAAACUUCGUUCUCUCUUGAAUGUAUCCUGAGUACGGCGGAACACGUGAAAUUCCGUCGGAAUCUGGGAGGACCAUCUCCCAAGGCUAAAUACUCCCUAGUGAUCGAUAGUGAACCAGUACCGUGAGGGAAAGGUGAAAAGCACCCCGGAAGGGGAGUGAAAGAGAUCCUGAAACCGUGUGCCUACAAAUAGUCAGAGCCCGUUAACGGGUGAUGGCGUGCCUUUUGUAGAAUGAACCGGCGAGUUACGAUCCCGUGCGAGGUUAAGCUGAAGAGGCGGAGCCGCAGCGAAAGCGAGUCUGAAUAGGGCGUUUAGUACGUGGUCGUAGACCCGAAACCAGGUGAUCUACCCAUGUCCAGGGUGAAGUUCAGGUAACACUGAAUGGAGGCCCGAACCCACGCACGUUGAAAAGUGCGGGGAUGAGGUGUGGGUAGCGGAGAAAUUCCAAUCGAACCUGGAGAUAGCUGGUUCUCCCCGAAAUAGCUUUAGGGCUAGCCUUAAGUGUAAGAGUCUUGGAGGUAGAGCACUGAUUGGACUAGGGGUCCUCAUCGGAUUACCGAAUUCAGUCAAACUCCGAAUGCCAAUGACUUAUCCUUAGGAGUCAGACUGCGAGUGAUAAGAUCCGUAGUCAAAAGGGAAACAGCCCAGACCGCCAGCUAAGGUCCCAAAGUGUGUAUUAAGUGGAAAAGGAUGUGGAGUUGCUUAGACAACUAGGAUGUUGGCUUAGAAGCAGCCACCAUUUAAAGAGUGCGUAAUAGCUCACUAGUCGAGUGACUCUGCGCCGAAAAUGUACCGGGGCUAAAUACACCACCGAAGCUGCGGAUUGAUACCAAUGGUAUCAGUGGUAGGGGAGCGUUCUAAGGACAGUGAAGUCAGACCGGAAGGACUGGUGGAGUGCUUAGAAGUGAGAAUGCCGGUAUGAGUAGCGAAAGACGGGUGAGAAUCCCGUCCACCGAAUGCCUAAGGUUUCCUGAGGAAGGCUCGUCCGCUCAGGGUUAGUCAGGACCUAAGCCGAGGCCGACAGGCGUAGGCGAUGGACAACAGGUUGAUAUUCCUGUACCACCUCUUUAUCGUUUGAGCAAUGGAGGGACGCAGAAGGAUAGAAGAAGCGUGCGAUUGGUUGUGCACGUCCAAGCAGUUAGGCUGAUAAGUAGGCAAAUCCGCUUAUCGUGAAGGCUGAGCUGUGAUGGGGAAGCUCCUUAUGGAGCGAAGUCUUUGAUUCCCCGCUGCCAAGAAAAGCUUCUAGCGAGAUAAAAGGUGCCUGUACCGCAAACCGACACAGGUAGGCGAGGAGAGAAUCCUAAGGUGUGCGAGAGAACUCUGGUUAAGGAACUCGGCAAAAUGACCCCGUAACUUCGGGAGAAGGGGUGCUUUCUUAACGGAAAGCCGCAGUGAAUAGGCCCAAGCGACUGUUUAGCAAAAACACAGCUCUCUGCGAAGCCGUAAGGCGAAGUAUAGGGGGUGACACCUGCCCGGUGCUGGAAGGUUAAGGAGAGGGGUUAGCGUAAGCGAAGCUCUGAACUGAAGCCCCAGUAAACGGCGGCCGUAACUAUAACGGUCCUAAGGUAGCGAAAUUCCUUGUCGGGUAAGUUCCGACCCGCACGAAAGGUGUAACGAUUUGGGCACUGUCUCAACCAGAGACUCGGUGAAAUUAUAGUACCUGUGAAGAUGCAGGUUACCCGCGACAGGACGGAAAGACCCCGUGGAGCUUUACUGUAGCCUGAUAUUGAAUUUUGGUACAGUUUGUACAGGAUAGGCGGGAGCCUUUGAAACCGGAGCGCUAGCUUCGGUGGAGGCGCUGGUGGGAUACCGCCCUGACUGUAUUGAAAUUCUAACCUACGGGUCUUAUCGACCCGGGAGACAGUGUCAGGUGGGCAGUUUGACUGGGGCGGUCGCCUCCUAAAGUGUAACGGAGGCGCCCAAAGGUUCCCUCAGAAUGGUUGGAAAUCAUUCGUAGAGUGCAAAGGCAUAAGGGAGCUUGACUGCGAGACCUACAAGUCGAGCAGGGACGAAAGUCGGGCUUAGUGAUCCGGUGGUUCCGCAUGGAAGGGCCAUCGCUCAACGGAUAAAAGCUACCCCGGGGAUAACAGGCUUAUCUCCCCCAAGAGUUCACAUCGACGGGGAGGUUUGGCACCUCGAUGUCGGCUCAUCGCAUCCUGGGGCUGUAGUCGGUCCCAAGGGUUGGGCUGUUCGCCCAUUAAAGCGGUACGCGAGCUGGGUUCAGAACGUCGUGAGACAGUUCGGUCCCUAUCCGUCGUGGGCGUAGGAAAUUUGAGAGGAGCUGUCCUUAGUACGAGAGGACCGGGAUGGACGCACCGCUGGUGUACCAGUUGUUCUGCCAAGGGCAUAGCUGGGUAGCUAUGUGCGGAAGGGAUAAGUGCUGAAAGCAUCUAAGCAUGAAGCCCCCCUCAAGAUGAGAUUUCCCAUAGCGUAAGCUAGUAAGAUCCCUGAAAGAUGAUCAGGUUGAUAGGUUCGAGGUGGAAGCAUGGUGACAUGUGGAGCUGACGAAUACUAAUAGAUCGAGGACUUAACCAU
rnacentral:rRNA from 1 species